GUGGGGAAUAUUGGACAAUGGGCGCAAGCCUGAUCCAGCCAUGCCGCGUGAGUGAUGAAGGCCCUAGGGUUGUAAAGCUCUUUCACCGGUGAAGAUAAUGACGGUAACCGGAGAAGAAGCCCCGGCUAACUUCGUGCCAGCAGCCGCGGUAAUACGAAGGGGGCUAGCGUUGUUCGGAAUUACUGGGCGUACAGCGCACGUAGGCGGGUAUUUAAGUCAGGGGUGAAAUCCCGGAGCUCAACUCCGGAACUGCCUUUGAUACUGGGUACCUAGAGUAUGGAAGAGGUAAGUGGAAUUCCGAGUGUAGAGGUGAAAUUCGUAGAUAUUCGGAGGAACACCAGUGGCGAAGGCGGCUUACUGGUCCAUUACUGACGCUGAGGUGCGAAAGCGUGGGGAGCAAACAGGAUUAGAAACCCGAGUAGUCC
rnacentral:rRNA from 1 species